CCCAUCAGAACUCCGCAGUUAAGCGUGCUUGGGCGAGAGUAGUACUAGGAUGGGUGACCUCUUGGGAAGUCCUCGUGUUGCACCUC
rnacentral:rRNA from 1 species